GGUGGUGGCUCAGUGGUAGAGCACUUGCCUAGCACUGUGUGAGGCACUGGGUUUGAUCCUCAGCACCA
rnacentral:tRNA from 1 species